GUUUGGGCGAUGCGGCCAGCAUAACGUCAGCUCAGUGGCGUUUAUAACGUAGCUCACUGAGUCGUCAUGACAACACAGAGCAGGGACAAAGGGUAGAAAGACUUCUGUCCUUGUUUGACCACGAUAAUGGCAGCCGUCUCCCUACACGUACUCAGUCUGUCAAGAUGUUCUUCUGUGUAGAGGCUAAUUCAGAGUGGAAACCAGGAACUGGUUCAACUGAUUCUACAUGAUUAGAAUAUAUGGAGCAGUUCAUAAUAAUAGGAUGCAUAUGUUUCAUAACAUCAAUCAUAUUCCUGGGAGGUAAGGGUUAACUUGUAUCAUGUUUACAUUCAACUAACAUGUAUCAUGGUUACAUUCAACUCACAUGUAUCAGGGUUAUGCUGAAUGAUAUUGACUGCUGUCCUGACAUGUUACUGUAUUGUUUAUCUCUAUAUAGCAUUGAUUGAUCGACUUCAUGAGGUAAGUGUUAUUACUGGUUUAAUACAGAACACAAUAAUAUGUGUGACCCUAGCUGGCAGUGGUGGAGUUUUUAGAUGAUGACCUUGUAAUGAACCCAAUGUUGAUAUUUUAUUCACAUUUUUAUUUUAUAGAAAAUGUUAACACCGAAACAGAAGUGGAAGUUAAAUGGAUUUAUUCAUCGACUUCUGAAGGAUACAGAGGAUCUUGAGAUGGCGUUUGUUGAUGGAGCUGCUGGAGAAGGGACAUCUGGUCCCUCAUCCACACCUCUCCUCUCUACGGAGCCUCCUGCAGGUCUAGAGACAUCCAUCCCUCCAGCUCCCUCCAGUGAAACACAGCCUGCAGGUCUAGAGACAUCCAUCCCUCCAGCUCCCUCCAGUGAAACACAGCCUGCAGGUCUAGAGACAUCCAUCCCUCCAGCUCCCUCCAGUGAAACACAGCCUGCAGGUCUAGAGACAUCCAUCCCUCCAGCUCCCUCCAGUGAAACACAGCCUGCAGGUCUAGAGACAUCCAUCCCUCCAGCUCCCUCCAGUGAAACACAACCUGCAGGUCUAGAGACAUCCAUCCCUCCAGCUCCCUCCAGUGAAACACAACCUGCAGGUCUAGAGACAUCCAUCCCUCCAGCUCCCUCCAGUGAAACACAGCCUGCAGGUCUAGAGACAUCCAUCCCUCCAGCUCCCUCCAGUGAAACACAGCCUGCUGAAGAAACUACACCACUACUGUCCAGUGAAUCUCCUGAGUCAACCAGGGACCAACAAGAACACACUUCAAGAACAACUACCCAUGAUGUAACUAUGGAUGGUCAUGAUGAUGACCAGAGUCUGGAUGCCCUCGCCUACCGGUCUGGUACUGGACAGCUAGACAUUGAGAUGGGUCCAGUCCAAACACAGCCCAAAGAUCGUAACAGGAUUCUUUAAUAUCUCCGUUAGUCCCAAGAUUCACAUCGACCGUGAUUCACUAUUGAAGGGGAAUGACAUUACAGGAGACAAAGUAACGCAGUUCUGGAAAUUCUGUAUCAACAUGAAAGUGAAUCUGAUGGUUCAAACUCAGAAACUAGAGGAGGAAAUACACCAGUCUGAUUCCUUCCUGAUGUCAGCUUUCACAGGAGAAGAGGAGUGGUGUGUUUAACAUCAUUAUUUGAUCAAUCCUCACAUUAUUCUUCUAUAUGUGGCUCACAGAGCAAAGACAAGCGAGGUGUCAAUAAAUAGUGUGAGGUGUGCUCUGUGAGGCGUCCUGGGAUAUGAUGGGUAACGUUGGCUUGGGUCCAAGCUCCACCUCUCUUGGGCGACCACCAAGACGAUAAUUUCUUUAUGAU